CUGUUGUAAGUCCCUCCACAGAUGGAAAGAAAGGAACACUUGUGCUGGAGAAACACAAUGGCAGCUACACCCCAGGCUUCGGAAAGAGCACUGGAGAUGACUAAGAAUUUCUUGGCAAAGAGCUGAGAAGGAUCACUAUGGAGACCACUAUGAUGUUCUAAGGAAUGAGGACCUCAGUUCCCACCCCAAGCUGAAUGUUUCCAAGCACGCAAGCAAGCAUCAGCAAUGCAACAGAGAAUCGUGCCAACCACCAGCAGAAUGGGCUUCCUUUAUUAGUAAUUUCUCUCAGGGUGUAUUAAGGCGGUUUUUGAUUAGUAACUAGGACUCGGCUGCACGCUAACCCCCACCCAUCCACACCUCACUGGAGAUAGGAGAAGUGCAGACUAGCUAUUACUGUGCUCCAAACAACCAAGUUAAAGGAUAAACUGAUAUUUCUAAAGGAAAAUAAGAGCGGCCUGGACACAGGUGGCGAAAGAGUGCUGUGAAUUGUGCUCUUCCUUCAUGUCUCUCCUUUAACAAUGAAUGAGGCCAGGCUGUUUACUUGCCCAUGGAAAAUGGCCCCAAGCAGCAGUCUACGCUGUGCAAGAAGAAAUAGGAAGCAAGACUUGUGAACAGGAAAUAGACUCCAGGAAAACACACCUCCUUUUGGAAUGAGUUUCCCACUUAACAAGAAUCAGUCUGAUCCAGG